rnacentral:rRNA from 1 species
AGCAAUCUGCCUUUGGAUGGGGGAUAACAGCCGGAAACGACUGCUAAUACCGCAUGAUGCAGCGGGGUCGCAUGAUUUUGCUGCCAAAGAUUUAUCGUCCAAAGAUGAGCUCGCGUCUGAUUAGCCAGUUGGCGGGGUAACGGCCCACCAAAGCGACGAUCAGUAGCCGGACUGAGAGGUUGAACGGCCACAUUGGGACUGAGACACGGCCCAGACUCCUACGGAAGGCAGCAG